UAUUAUUAUUAUUAUUAUUAUUAUUAAAUGAAUACAUAUCUUCCUUUCCAGUUAAUUGUUCAAACAGCGGCUGUGUAUUUUGUUAUGAAAUACAGUCAUUUAGAGGAGCAAACAAGGUUUUCUUUUACGAUAGAAAGAGUCGAGGCCCAGCAUAAGAAUAAAGAUACAAAAACAUCCUUCCUUCCAAAACUGUUGUAGGACAGAGUGCCUCCGAAAUGCCCUGGACACAAAGGUUCCUCAUCUGCCACCAACGGAGGUAAGAG